rnacentral:lncRNA from 1 species
AAAGAUGUUUAGUUUAUUAUUAUAUAAUGAUAAUAAUAAUAACAUAGGAAAAUAAUACUCUAUAGAAAACAGAAGAGAUAAAGAUGACACAUGAAAUGAAGUGAACUCAAUCAUGAAAAAAAGAAAAAAAAAACAAGAUCCUCCGCUUAAACUCUUUUGCUGUUGUAUAUGGCCAAGAACAUGAAGACAGGUUGGUUUUGUCAGCCUUUUUUUAAUAAUUAAAAUUUUGUUUCUUCCAAGAGUUUUAAUUUAUCUAUUCGCAUCCCCAAAGGAGUUAUUUGUAUAUAAAAAAUUCUCAUUAUCGCUAUAUGAGUAUAUGACCCCUAAUUUUUUUUUCCUUUGCCCAAAAAGAAGAUAAUUUGGUUGUAAUUAAAUGGAGUAAUUUAGAGUGUUUUCGUUUGUAAUUUAAUUUAGAAAAGAACACAGAAGUUUGUUACUCUGCAGUUACUAAAAAGGAGGACAAUGAAUAAAUCGGUGGAAAUCGGGAAAUUGAUUUACGAGAACACAAAAAUAAAGAACAAAAGAGAUUCACCCCAAAAAAAAAAAGUAAAGAACAAAAUAGAAGCUUCACUAGACUAAAUUGAUUAUGAAGCAUUUAAUUUAUUCAUGAUAACUGUAGUUUUGUGGUCGUGUAAUAUUGUAUACCAAAAUGUUUCAUUCUCUCAAGGAAUAAACAAAAAGAUCACUGGAUGGUGACCCCCAAAAAAAAAACAAAAAGAUAAUUGGACUAGUUAAGCAGAUAACAAACACACACAAAAAAACAGCAGAUGUAAUUAAGGGUAAAUUGAAGAAACUUUGAAUAGUCUACGAAGAAUUUUCUUUUUAGCAUCGUGUUUAAAGAACUUUAACUCAACGCUCUUCUUUUUAUAAUUUCUGGUUGAAAGAAUUAAUAGAAAAAGACUUACAAAGACUUUCGUUUGUCCAUGAAGGUAACAGGCCGAGAAGAAUAUCCACAAGCAAUAAAGGUUAGGGUUUCUCCGAUCACCGGCCAUCCUAAGCUUCCCUUCGGAAUCAUUCCCUUCUUCUUCUCGUUCUCUUCUUGUUCGUCUCCGUCUCUUGUUUUCGAGUUUGUUAGACGAAACCAGAGCCAUGAACGAAGAAGAAUACCGGCCGUCAAAACCAAGAAACCGGCGACCCAAUAAUCCAUGAAACAAGCCGGCGAAGAAAGAUUUUCCGGCGACCGGAAAAGUCUUAAUUUUUCCGGAGAAUACAUAAAGACACACCAAAAGAAGUUAACCUGAUUUUCUGGCAGUUAUAAAUAACAUGCCAAAGCACAUGAAGCUAUUACACAUGUAUUGUGAGGAGAUAGUAGAGAAUUAGGUUUCUCAAAUCUCAAAAGCCAUGCAUGAAGAGAAUAAAUAUUUGUAGAGCUAAAGCUAUGGUGAUGUCAUUUUCAAUGGGGGCGAAACAGAGGAAUGAAUGAUAUAAAAUCCACUUUUCCCGUCUCUCACUAUAUACAUAUAUAUCUAUCCCUAU